rnacentral:rRNA from 1 species
UGCAAGUCGGGCGGCAGCGGGGGCUUCGGCCUGCCGGCGAGCGGCGGACGGGUGAGUAACGCGUAGGAAUCUGCCCACGGGUGGGGGACAACCCGGCGAAAGCCGGGCUAAUACCGCAUAAGCCCUUCGGGGGAAAGCGGGGGACCUUCGGGCCUCGCGCCGGUGGAUGAGCCUGCGUGGGAUUAGCUAGUUGGCGGGGUAAGGGCCCACCAAGGCGACGAUCCCUAGCUGGUCUGAGAGGACGGCCAGCCACACUGGGACUGAGACACGGCCCAGACUCCUACGGGAGGCAGCAGUGGGGAAUAUUGGACAAUGGGCGCAAGCCUGAUCCAGCAAUGCCGCGUGUGUGAAGAAGGCCUGCGGGUUGUAAAGCACUUUGAGCGGGGAGGAAGGCCCUGGGGCUAACACCCUUGGGGAUUGACGUCACCCGCAGAACAAGCACCGGCUAACUCCGUGCCAGCAGCCGCGGUAAUACGGAGGGUGCGAGCGUUAAUCGGAAUUACUGGGCGUAAAGCGCGCGUAGGCGGCCCGGCCAGUCCGACGUGAAAGCCCCGGGCUCAACCUGGGAACUGCGUUGGAAACUGCCGGGCUGGAGUGUGGGAGAGGGCGGUGGAAUUUCCGGUGUAGCAGUGAAAUGCGUAGAGAUCGGAAGGAACACCAGUGGCGAAGGCGGCCGCCUGGACCAACACUGACGCUGAGGCGCGAAAGCGUGGGGAGCAAACAGGAUUAGAUACCCUGUAGUCCACGCCGUAAACGAUGCGGACUAGCCGUCGGGGGCGAUCGGGCCUCGGGCCAGCUAACGCGGU